UGUGUAGUAACUUACUGUUGGGAGAGAAGCCCCACGGCUACAAAAACCCUGGAAAGAAAACCACAAAACCACACAGAAAAUUAGAUUCAUUCUUCAACAUAUUCUGAAUGAAGCACCUUGUGGAUGCUUUGGAUGCCAACAGGAUAUUGAAGCUCCCUGGUGUUUGCUCAUGACAUGCAAAGGCUAAACAACAAAUGAAAGAAACAUGUACAUGUUGGUAACCGCAUCCUGAGACAGCUUCUGGAUGGAGACAUUGGAUGCGUGCACGGCCAUGUGCCCUUGAGCAGUGCCUGAUCCCCAGCCUGAAUGAAGCUGCUCAGGUGCGAAUGCAUGUAUGUAUGCAACUCGCUUUACAUCUAAACCCCUUCCUCAGGCUAUAGCUGCUGAUGGAAUGUGUUUUCAGUCACCUUACUUUGUGAACAGCUGCGAACCAGCUCGCUUAAAAGCACAGUUUGAUUGUAUAAGCAUUUGGUAAGUCAGUGCAAGUGGUACAAACAGUGAAAAUGGCACAAAUUCACUGAUUGAAAGCUAAUUUCCCUCUGGAUAAAUAAAGUAUCUAUCUAUCUCCAAAAGAAAUAGCAACAAGAUCA